GACGAACGCUGGCGGCGUGCCUAAUACAUGCAAGUAGAACGCACAGUUUAUACCGUAGCUUGCUACACCAUAGACUGUGAGUUGCGAACGGGUGAGUAACGCGUAGGUAACCUGCCUGGUAGCGGGGGAUAACUAUUGGAAACGAUAGCUAAUACCGCAUAAUAUUAAUUAUUGCAUGAUAAUUAAUUGAAAUGUGCAAUUGCACCACUACCAGAUGGACCUGCGUUGUAUUAGCUAGUAGGUGAGGUAACGGCUCACCUAGGCGACGAUACAUAGCCGACCUGGGAGGGUGAUCGGCCCAACUGGGACUGAGACACGGCCCAGACUCCUACGGGAGGCAGCAGUAGGGAAUCUUCGGCAAUGGACGAAAGUCUGACCGAGCAACGCCGCGUGAGUGAAGAAGGUUUUCGGAUCGUAAAGCUCUGUUGUAAGAGAAGAACGGGUGUGAGAGUGGAAAGUUCACACUGUGGCGGUAUCUUACCAGAAAGGGACGGCUAACUACGUG
rnacentral:rRNA from 1 species